rnacentral:pre_miRNA from 1 species
CUCAGGGGGGGGGUCCCUCAGCCUGGAUGGCGAGAGGGUGCAGGCCAGGCCGAGGGAUGCCACCGGUGCAUG